CCUACGGGUGGCAGCAGUGAGGAAUAUUGGUCAAUGGGCGGGAGCCUGAACCAGCCAAGUCGCGUGAGGGAAGACGGUCCUACGGAUUGUAAACCUCUUUUGCCGGGGAGCAACGGGGUCCUUGCGAGGGCCCGAUGAGAGUACCCGGAGAAAAAGCAUCGGCUAACUCCGUGCCAGCAGCCGCGGUAAUACGGAGGAUGCGAGCGUUAUCCGGAUUUAUUGGGUUUAAAGGGUGCGUAGGCGGGCUGUUAAGUCAGCGGUAAAAUUGAGGGGCUCAACCCCUUCCCGCCAUUGAAACUGGCGUUCUUGAGUGGAAGAGAAGUAUGCGGAAUGCGUGGUGUAGCGGUGAAAUGCAUAGAUAUCACGCAGAACCCCGAUUGCGAAGGCAGCAUGCCGGCUUCCGACUGACGCUGAAGCACGAAAGCGUGGGGAUCGAACAGGAUUAGAUACCCUUGUAGUC
rnacentral:rRNA from 1 species